rnacentral:rRNA from 1 species
UACGAAGGGGGCUAGCGUUGCUCGGAAUUACUGGGCGUAAAGCGCUCGUAGGCGGCUUUCUAAGUCGGGGGUGAAAUCCUGGAGCUCAACUCCAGAACUGCCUUCGAUACUGGAAAGCUCGAGUCCGGGAGAGGUGAGUGGAACUGCGAGUGUAGAGGUGAAAUUCGUAGAUAUUCGCAAGAACACCAGUGGCGAAGGCGGCUCACUGGGCCGGUACUGACGCUGAGGUGCGAAAGCGUGGGGAGCAAACAGG